rnacentral:rRNA from 1 species
GACGAACGCUGGCGGCGUGCUUAACACAUGCAAGUCGAACGCUGAAGCUUGGUGCUUGCACUGGGUGGAUGAGUGGCGAACGGGUGAGUAAUACGUGAGUAACCUGCCCUUGACUCUGGGAUAAGCCUGGGAAACUGGGUCUAAUACUGGAUACGACAUGUCACCGCAUGGUGGUGUGUGGAAAGGGUUUUACUGGUUUUGGAUGGGCUCACGGCCUAUCAGCUUGUUGGUGGGGUAAUGGCUCACCAAGGCGACGACGGGUAGCCGGCCUGAGAGGGUGACCGGCCACACUGGGACUGAGACACGGCCCAGACUCCUACGGGAGGCAGCAGUGGGGAAUAUUGCACAAUGGGCGGAAGCCUGAUGCAGCGACGCCGCGUGAGUGAUGACGGCCUUCGGGUUGUAAACCUCUUUCAGCGCGGAAGCAGCGAAAGUGACGGUACGUGCAGAAGAAGCGCCGGCUAACUACGUG